AAGAGCUGCUCAUUUCUCUAAAGUGGAUCUCAUUCUUUCCUACAUCAUAACAACACAUUCAUUUAGAAAUGAACCCAAAUGCUCCUCUCCAGUGAAAGCAAUUCCACAGUGACAUGAAUUUUGUUUACAAAUUAAAGCACCGGCUGGUGAUUGUUUGGAGCAGUUAUGAUUUACAACAGGUGCCCUGAUCAAUCAACCAAUCACUCUAAUUCAUGUGAGCGGAGGUCUUGCCUUGCCCCAGUUGUUUCAUUUCGGCAAGUAAUUGAUAACAAACUGCACUCAAGGUAUGUUUUAUGCAGAAGUUAAUAAGAGCUGACAGCUGGUUGCCACUGCUACCCAGGCGCAUUCAGUCUCACCAGCCUGUAUUUCUGUUUAAUUGUGUUUCAGUGUCAUCUGCACCUCAGGAAGAGGCGGGGCUCAGUGGAACCAGAAGGCUGGGAAUGAGGAACAAUGAAUGGUCAACCUCCCAAUUCGCUGGCAGUCUUACUCUCUUGGAGUUCUACACUGCUGAACUUCUGCAGGCUCUAGAAGCCACAGGGCAGCUUAUUCUCUCCACUACGGAUUCUGGCAUUCAGACCUCCAUGAUUGUUUAGAGACUGCUGAAACCCAGCUUAUCAAUAAACCCAGAGAGCAACAGGGCCCGGUUGAUUUGUUAGUAAUUAUGAGCACACUGUUCCUGCUCUUGGAACCCAGAGAUGACUAAGAUAGGUUUAAAGCGACAGCAGGAAAUGGUAAGGAAAUGGAGCAUAGCAAAACU